GCCGCCGUGAAUUCUUUAGCUAAACGGCCCUAAACCGAAUCCCAUUCAUUUUCAAUGGUAGUGCUAAAACACUACGGAUGCAAUAUAUUUUCGGCCACUGGCGCUCUCGCGGCGCACUUCCGUGUUUUGCAUAGCCGGGAAAUUUGAGUCAUUUUAACUUCCUCGUUGGAAAGACAACUCUGCAAUCCUGCUUUACUUCUCAAAGGUCAUCAUGCACAAAAAGGUAGUUUUCUCCCAGAAAGGGCUAAAGUUGCAUUCUGUAAGGCACUACUGGGUUAUCUUCUUCAGGAACCAACUGACCAGGCCAGGGUUAUCAAAAACAACCCGUCUCUGAAGGACAAAUCAGCACCAAUAAAGGAGGAGCUUGUUAGACAAAAUGCUUUGACUGUGGUACUUCAAGGAGGAGGUGAUGCAUCAGACAAAAAAUAAGUAUUUGGUGAAUACAUUCUGCAGUUUGGCAAACGCAACACAGAAUUAUAAGCUGCAGCAAUACCUACUGAGACAGCAGCAACAGUCAGGUGACUGUUCAUCUGUGGUUACCCACAGAAAUGGAUGAAGACACAGAGUUUGAGUGUUCAAUGCUGAGCAUCACCCCCUCUAAACUACAGGUACCAUUAUCAUCAUCCUCAACAACUGAAGUGAGAUGCUCUAUGGAAAAAGGAAAAGGGUUUCGUUUUGGCCAUGUUUCAUUAACAAUAGUGUGUGUGCCGUUGGCAUUAUACUAACAGUUCAGGAGGCUGUAGAUUGAUUUCAUCCCUAUCAUGAAUUGAUACAAACCCUGUUCAGGAACCUCCUGCUUUCCUAUCAAAGCCUUGUGAUGACACUAAAAAGUCACCAGUCUAUGAGCUGAUGUUUCUUGAGUAAGAACCAUCACCUUUCACACAAUCAAAGAAAAGUGUUUCAGCUACAGGAGAGCACAGCGUUGUAGACAACUUUCUUGCACGCAGGACACUUACUUUUGAGGACUGUGGCAAAAACGUUUUUAGAAACUCUCUCAUCUUCAGGAACCACAUCACGUAGUGUCCCACAAACAGCAGAGGCAUCACAUGAUCCAUGAUCCUCUGCUUCUGGUUCUUCUGUGCACAGCCCACCAUCUCUGCAUUAGAAAGUUCAAAACACAUGAACCCUUUCUAAAGCUUCUCCACAUCUUCCUGACUAUGAUCAUGAUGUGCUUCACUGGAAUUGUUCUCAUCAGCAGAGGACCUGGAUGAAAACAUAGCUGGAAUAAAUGGGUCUAUGGCCAGGCUCCACUCCUGUGAGCAACCCUAUGAAGACCGUGUCACUGUGGCGUUUACCUCCUCAGCCAGAGCUGAUAGACACAGCCAUGUACCAGGGCCUAGCAAACCAGUACAAAAUUGCAGAUGUGGAGAAGGCACAGUACCAGUGUGUAGACAGGUGAGGUGUUUUAGGCUCAAUGGAUCACUGGCACACGUGUUUCCUCGGAGCUGUUUCAAACACAGGGGAUGAUUGGAGUGGCCCGCUGAAACGUCUGGUGGACCUAAAACCAUUGGGUGUUAAUCUCCCUGGUGUGUUUGACUCAUCUCUUAUUGCAGACAUCAAUACCGUGUCUAGAGAGGGUGUUAGGCAUGCCUAAGUAUCCUGCUCUUCAGGUAUCCAACAAAGAUUCUCAGGAGAGGUUUGAGUUUGUUGAACCUGGAUGUCGUCCUGUUGUGCUUUAUUGGAGAAAGCACAGGAGAAAGACAGAUCUGCCUUUGCAUCCAGCUAAGCGUAGCCCAAGCCCACUGCCCAGGCUGGAGACCUUUCUGCUGAUCUUGUUGUGCCAUCAAGUCAUGAUGAGCCAGGGUCAGGAUUACCACCAUUGAUGUGCCCUUGCUGUCCUCAUAUCAUUGUGCUGAUGUAGAGCUGCAGUCAAAACCAGGUUGUUGAUGAAAGUGCUAUUAUUCUUGUUGAAUCCAUUGACGUGCUGCCUGUGCCAUCGGUGUCAUUGCCUUAAAGUGCCUGCAUAAAGCCUCAGACAGAGAUAGAAACCACACAUAUUCCCCUGCUGCCCGUAGUGGCCUCACCUGCAAAGGCCCGUACCGGACUAGUGAAGACUGGUGGGAGGGUGUUUGUUCUAGACCACAAACGAUGGACAUCCCCAAUGAAGGAGGCCAUUGACAAAUUGCUUAACAAACAUCAUGAGAAGAAGGACAUCCUUAAGCUUGUGGAUCAGCAGUAUGCAGCAAUGGUUCAAAACUCCUGCACUGAUCCAAACACCAUGCUCCAUCUAAAAACUAAACUACACAUUUCACAAUAUAUUAAGCACUAAGCCAAACUGCUGAACACCAGUUCUUUUUUAAACACCAGUGAUGAGAAACUUAAUCAGAGACAGCACCUCUGACACUCCCUGACAGAGGGGAGUGAGACCACCAGUGUGCCAGUGGUAACAAUGAACUCUGCCAUUCCAAACCCACCUGCACCUGCUCUGACCACACCAAUUACUCAAGAGACCAUCGAGAAAGUAGUUGAGGGUAUUAUGGAGAGGAAUCAACAACAACAACAGCCAGAGCAGAAGAAAAAGCAGACAAAGAUGUGUCUUGCCUGUGGACAGCCAAAGUCUCACUAUGAUAGAGAUGGCUUCUCUAUUAAUUUUUUUAUCAGCAAGCCCCUGUUGGGUAUUUUUACUGCUCUACAAAGGUGUUUAAAGCUUAUAGCAUUGAGUGACUAACAAUGAGUAACAUUCCCUUGGCAAGACAUUUUGCUUGUGUGUGUACUUUUAUUGAAAGGGUUAAUAAAA